rnacentral:lncRNA from 1 species
AAAAUGAUGAAAAUGGAGGUUGGAGGUUGAAAAUGAAGAAAAGUGGAGGUUGGAAAUGGGAAAAUUGAGGUUAGAGGUUAAAGAUGGGGGAAAAUAAAGGCCGGAGAUGAUAAAAAAAGGAGGUUGAAGAUAAGGAAAAAUGGAGGCUGGAGGUUGGAGAUGAGAAAAAAUUGAGGUUAGAUGUUGGAGAUGGAUUAAGGAAGAAGAAGACGAAUUUGUAAAAUUAAUAUUUUGGAUUUCCUCCUCCCAUACCACGUCACUAGUGCCACAUAAACAACGUUUGCCAUGUUGCC